rnacentral:rRNA from 1 species
AACGAACGCUGGCGGCAGGCUUAACACAUGCAAGUCGAGCGCCCCGCAAGGGGAACGGCAGACGGGUGAGUAACGCGUGGGAAUCUACCCAACCCUACGGAAUAACGCAUGGAAACGUGUGCUACAACCGCAUACGCCCUUUUGGGGAAAGAUUUAUCGGGGAUGGAUGAGCCCGCGUUGGAUUAGCUAGUUGGUGGGGUAAGGGCCUAACAAGGCGACGAUCCAUAGCUGGUCUGAGAGGAUGAUCAGCCACAUUGGGACUGAGACACGGCCCAAACUCCUACGGGAGGCAGCAGUGGGGAAUAUUGGACAAUGGGCGCAAGCCUGACCCAGCCAUGCCGCGUGGGUGAUGAAGGCCCUAGGGUUGUAAAGCCCUUUCGGCGGGGAAGAUAAUGACGGUACCCGCAGAAGAAGCCCCGGCUAACUUCGUGCCAGCAGCCGCCGUAA